AUAUUAUUACAGUAAUGUUUUCUUCUGUUCAUUUGGUGAUACAUUUAUGAAAGUAUAAUUUUGAGCACACAAAUCACAGAGGUAACGUGACUUGUCUGGUUGUUAUAGAGAAGGAAGCACACAUGUUUGUGUGUUAGCUGAUGCAGAGUGACUGAACAAAUGCUACCAUCAUAUUUGUUUAACAAAAUAUCGUUAUUUCAAACAGCUAUUGCAACAAUUUCUUUAAUGUUGAUUUAUAUGCCAUUUCUGGGCUGGAGCAGGACUUGCAAGGCAAGAAAACAGAGAAAACCUGAAUUCAAAACAUGAAACUGGUGUGUGCAGUGAUGACGAUGAAGAACAGCAGUGUGCAGAUGAAGGAAAUGUUGAAGAUGCUGUAGUGCCGUGGACAAGACCCUGCAUCCCUCCACCUGCCUGCGUGUCCUCAUCUGAGCCAGAUGCAUGUGUGCUCUUCAUCUUCAGUAUGAAUCGGUUUCUCAGGCAUGGACAGCCUCACCUCACAACUCUGUUCCAGUCUGACUGCAGCACUGAGGGAUGUGAUGGCAAAAACAAGUGAAGUCCAGCAUGCAGCAGAACAUGGGGUUUUGUCUGAAAUACAUGAUUGUUUGAAUAAGUUUGAAUAAAGCUUAGUUUUG